UUGGGGUGACAGUCCAUUGCUGACCACUUGUGCUGGGCACUCCCCAGAGCAGCCUCGUGGCUGAGUGUGGAGGAAGCCCCGGGGAGGCUCUCCAGGCACAAAAUGGUCUUGGUGGGAUCUCCUGCCCUGGAGAACCCCUUCUGGAGACAGAGCUGUGGUGGUGGCUUUAGUACAAGGCCUUUUCGUACCAGGAAGGAGAGACAGAGAAGAAAGUAGAUACUUUCUUGAAAGUAGUGAGAGUUUAACAAAGGAAUUUCAGAGAUUGUAGGAUCCAGAGGAAAGUUUAACAGGGAAGAUCCAAACAGUGCCAAGUCCAGAAUGAUCCCUCUUUGCACUGGGUGCUUUCUGAUCCUACUGGGAAAAUACCUUAACAAUUAGCACAAGGAGCAAGUGGAUCCUUGCAGGGAAAUACAGCAGAGACUUCAUAGAUUUGAGUUUCCUUCCCCUUGGUAGAACGUGGAUAGCACAUAGAGAAGUGACUCAGAUUCAUCAUAGGAAAAUAUCACGUGUGAUAACCCUCAGGUGGAACUUUGCUCAAGCUGAAGCACGGGAUGUGCAAGGUGCCAAACUGCUUUUAUUCCUUGCUUCCAUGGGUUCAUUAAAUGCUGUUUUCACCUCCUUCUCAGCCAAAUUAAAGGGUCAAUGUAGAGGGAUUCAACACACAGAAUUGCUGAGAGUGUGUUUGACGACUAAAAUGGGAGAAAAUAUGACCCUAAGGUUUUUUGGAUAUUAAACCCAUCUUCUAUGCUUGUUUUUCAGAGCUGAGUUGAAGGUCCUG